rnacentral:lncRNA from 1 species
ACCAACGGCCGAACGGUGGCGCGCGACUCUCACUAAAACGCGCUGAGAAGACGGCACUCGCACUCGCAGUGAUUGAGUAUCGAUCGUGGGCGUGGCCGUAAGCGGGUUUCUGAGACGUGAUUGGCUAUUAUGGUGGGCGUGAGGAACGCCGGGCUGGAGAGCUGUGGAAAUCGCACACCCUCACAGUGAAAAGCUUUAAGGAGGAGAGAGUGGCCUGGGCGGUUUAGGCGGCUGUCAGCAGGUGUCCUCAAACAGACUCAUGCUAACUCCGCAGGCCUGCAAGCACAGACUGGGUGGACUGUGGCCCUUUCCGGCUCUGUUGAAUACGGCCAUCCCAGCCAGCAGCUACAAAGAAACACAACCAGAGUGGGAAGAUGCCUGAAAGCCCAGCCACCCUGCCCUGGCCCAAAGAAAGCCAGCCACUCAAGAACGAAGAAGAUGGAGAACACAGGGACAACAGGACGACUCACGCCUUUUCAGUGCCGUAGCUUCGGUAGUCAAUGGCUGCUGCGAUGCCGACCACCAGGGCUGGGAAGCAGUAGCCACCUAGGAAGAGCAGCUCCGCAAGGAAGAGGUUGAUGCACAGAUUCUUGUGGAUGGUGUUGCGGU